rnacentral:rRNA from 1 species
UACGAAGGGGGCUAGCGUUGUUCGGAAUCACUGGGCGUAAAGCGCACGUAGGCGGAUUUGUAAGUCAGAGGUGAAAGCCCGGGGCUCAACCUCGGAACUGCCUUUGAUACUGCAAACCUCGAGGAAGGAAGAGGUGAGUGGAACUCCGAGUGUAGAGGUGAAAUUCGUAGAUAUUAGGAAGAACACCAGUGGCGAAGGCGGCUCACUGGUCCGGUACUGACGCUGAGGUGCGAAAGCGUGGGGAGCAAACAGG